rnacentral:lncRNA from 1 species
UGGUCUAGCACUUUUACCGGUGCCCACUGGUUCCAAGGCUGCUAGGAGAUGUUUAAAACACUGGUAAAACAUGAUGCAUGUCCAACACACAAAACAAUAGGUUGCAUAUCACCUAAACUUGUUGAGCUUUUCAGCUCAAAUCUAUCAACAACAUAGCGUCAAUUGGAACUGGUCAUGUCUUUCAAAAUGAGGUGACAUGAAACAAUUUUGUGUGCUACAAGCAUCAUUUAUAAUUUCCCUAAUGACUGUAGAGUAGUAGUAAGCGAAUAGUAGAUAUCCCAGAAAAUAGUAUCCUAUGCCUCAAUGAUAAUUCUGAUCUCCA